AGUGAACGCUGGCGGUAGGCCUAACACAUGCAAGUCGAACGGCAGCACAGUAAGAGCUUGCUCUUACGGGUGGCGAGUGGCGGACGGGUGAGGAAUACAUCGGAAUCUACUUUUUCGUGGGGGAUAACGUAGGGAAACUUACGCUAAUACCGCAUACGACCUACGGGUGAAAGCAGGGGAUCUUCGGACCUUGCGCGAUUGAAUGAGCCGAUGUCGGAUUAGCUAGUUGGCGGGUUAAAGGCCCACCAAGGCGACGAUCCGUAGCUGGUCUGAGAGGAUGGUCAGCCACCCUGGAACUGAGACACGGUCCAGACUCCUACGGGAGGCAGCAGUGGGGAAUAUUGGACAAUGGGGGCAAGCCUGAUCCAGCCAUACCGCGUGGGUGAAGAAGGCCUUCGGGUUGUAAAGCCCUUUUGUUGGGAAAGAAAAGCAGCAGGUUAAUACCCCGCUGUUCUGACGGUACCCAAAGAAUAAGCACCGGCUAACUUCGUG
rnacentral:rRNA from 1 species